ensembl:snRNA U6 U6 spliceosomal RNA
AUAUUCACUUUGGCAGCACUUACACUAAUAUUGAAAUGAUACAGAGAAGAUUAACAUGGCUCCUGUGAAAGGAUGACACCCAAAUUCAAGGAGAAAUCAUGU